AAAACAUAAAUAACAAUAUUAAUAAACAUACAAAGACAUGUCAAAAACAAACAAAAACCAUUUCUACUGCACGGCCAUAAAAGUCGAGGCAGAGACAGAAGAGAAAAAAAAAAAACACAUUAAAAAAAAAGUAUCACUUGUCAAGUUGACUUGACAUUUGCCACGUCCACCAGCCACGUAACAAAAAUAAUUAACAAUCGGUUUUAGCAAUAAUGUACCUACAUAGUUAUUAACUUAACUUUUAUAAAUUGUGAUUAAAUUCCAUUGAGUAGAAAUUAUAAUAUUGUGGUUAAAAUAAAUAAAAAUGUCAAUCAGGUGCCGAAAAUUGAUGAACAUGAUAGGGUGUUCAGUAGGGGAGACCUAAAUACAUUUAAUUGGGAUCUCAUUCAACCACCCAACGAGAGCAUCGGAACGACUAAGGGCAUAUGGUAAAAGGGAACUAAGAAGAGCAGCGUUCUCAAAGCCGGAACGACGCCAAAGCCCAACGAACGACGUGCGUGCUCCGAUGUGCACGCAAUGGUGGGGGCAAAUCGUUCCAGCAUCGAGACGCUGCAAAUCUAAACGAUCCUCGAAAUGCCGCUGUACGAUGUCUCGGUGUGAGGAAGACGUGAGUAAUCACCCUUCUCUUAUGCUCACUGCGACAAGGUGCACGGACUAGCUUGUCUAAGAGAUAUUGCGGCCGUCCUGUAUUAAUGACGCCGAACAACAUUGUCGCCAAGUGCAACUUUCUACGGGCCUCCAUCUUCAUCUGAUUGGCUGCAUUGAGGAAUGGCGUAACAUGAGACCGUGGCGGAACAUGGAAGCAGAAGCGAGCACAUGCAUUUUGAACCCGCUGCAACAACUUCGCUGAACUUGCUAACAGACAGGGCCCAUAAACUGUGUCACAAUAGUUUAGCUUAGACAAUACAAGGGCCUCACAAAGAGUUAUCCUAAGCUUUUCACUCAAAUAAGGUCUUAUUCUGUAUAGGAGCUUCAACCUAUAAAAACAAUUUCUUGCACAUUCAGUCACAUGUUUUUCAAACCUGAGAUGGCUGUCAAACACCAGUCCCAAGUUCCUGGCUUCUUCAACCAACAUUAUGGGCUCCCCAUUUAGUUUGACAGUGAAGCUGUCAAUCUUAGCAGUGUUUUUUGGAGUCCCUAUUAGCAUAAGCUUGGACUUUUUGGGAUUUAAGGUGAGGCAGUUUUCAAAGCACCAGGCCGAAAUGCUAAGUAAAUCCUUGUUUAGCAUAGCCAUAGCUUCGCACUGGUCAGAAGGAGCGAAUGAAAGGUAUAGCUGCAAGUCAUCUGCAUACAAGUGAUAGCGACAGUGCGCAAUAUGUUUUACAAUAUCAGCACUGUACAAGAUGUAAAGAAUUGGCCCCAAGAUCGAACCUUGUGGGACCCCGCGACUUACCGGCAGAGAGCGUGAACGAACUUUUUUUCCAUUGCUCAGCCUCAGUUCGACAUAUUGACUCCGUCCGCUCAGAUAACUAUGGAACCAUUUUACAGUGAGGUGAUCAAGACCGUAGUAGCUGAGUUUCGACAGCAACAACGAUGUGUUGAUUGAGUCGAAAGCCCGAGAAAAAUCAAGAAGCACUAAUGCUGACACCAUCCCCUGAUCUUGACCCGCAAGAAGGCUAUCCACAACGUCCGCCAAAGCGGUCGCCGUGCUGUGUCCCCUGCGGAAACCUGAUUGUGAACCUGGUAAUAUGUUGUACUUCUCCAAGUAUGUGGUUAGCUGCUUGCAUACUAUUCUCUCCAAGACCUUGGAAAGGCAUGGAAGGAUACUAACAGGUCGAAGAUCCUGCACCGAUGCCGGCUGGUUGGUCUUAGGCAAUGGCGUCACCGCUGCCACUUUCCAGUCCUCGGGAAACGUUCCUUGCUGUAGUGAGCAAUUAAUAAUAGUUGUCAAGGCCUCGAGUGAGUGCGGCAAGGUGAGAAGCAAAGCAUCCAGUGCCAGGCCAUCGUUUCCCUGUGCGUUCGACCUCAGCCCCCCAACAACCUCCAGCACCUCCCUGCUAGUUACAGUUUGGAGAGAAAAAACAGCCUUGGGAUUAUACCUAUUAUGCUCAUAAAAAGAUAAUGUAGAAAUCGAUACUUCAUUUGAGCCUGGUAUGUGUAGAAAGUGCUGAUUUAUAACAUUAGGUUCAUUAAACUCUGGUGGCAGCUCAUUAGUCCUCUCAUUAUUUGGAAGCACCGUAUUUUUGAGAUUCUUCCACAGUUUCUUUGAGUUACCUAUGUUAUUAUUUAUAUAUUUUUCAAAGUAACAUUUUUUCUCCCUUUCCAUCGCCUCAAGUACUACUCGUCUCAUUCUUCCGUAACAUUCUUUCAAAUUUGACGUUUUGAGUUUUUUAUAUCUAUUGUGAUAAUUAUCCCUAAUACGCAUCAUUGUUCUGACAGUGUCUGUUAUCCACGGGUGGGGAGGAUGUUUAAACUUUUUGGUAGUUAUUGGGGCAUGUAAAUCCAUCAAUCCGACAGUGCAUGAUGUGAAUGCCUGUACCAGAUGAUUAACCUCAUUAAUUUUCCUAAAAUUGUUCCACUGAAUGGCACUGAGAUCCGAAUUCAGCCGUUCAAGCAGAAUGUUCUUAAACGGUCUAUAUGUCACCCAUCUAGGACUUGGUAUGUUCACUUUAAUCUUGACUUCUGCCAGUAUCAUGGCAUGCCCACCUCGGUCUGGUGAGUGCCUAACUGUCAGUUUUGGAACCCGAA